CUUCGGGGUUAGUGGCGGACGGGUGAGUAACACGUGGGAACGUGCCCUUUGGUACGGAAUAACUCAGGGAAACUUGAGCUAAUACCGUAUGUGCCCUUCGGGGGAAAGAUUUAUCGCCAUUGGAGCGGCCCGCGUCUGAUUAGCUAGUUGGUGAGGUAAUGGCUCACCAAGGCGACGAUCAGUAGCUGGUCUGAGAGGAUGACCAGCCACAUUGGGACUGAGACACGGCCCAAACUCCUACGGGAGGCAGCAGUGGGGAAUCUUGCGCAAUGGGCGAAAGCCUGACGCAGCCAUGCCGCGUGGAUGAUGAAGGUCUUAGGAUUGUAAAAUCCUUUCACCGGGGACGAUAAUGACGGUACCCGGAGAAGAAGCCCCGGCUAACUUCGUGCCAGCAGCCGCGGUAAUACGAAGGGGGCUAGCGUUGCUCGGAAUUACUGGGCGUAAAGGGCGCGUAGGCGGACAUUUAAGUCGGGGGUGAAAUCCCAGGGCUCAACCCUGGAACUGCCUUCGAUACUGGAUGUCUUGAGUGCGGGAGAGGUGUGUGGAACUCCGAGUGUAGAGGUGAAAUUCGUAGAUAUUCGGAAGAACACCAGUGGCGAAGGCGACACACUGGCCCGUUACUGACGCUGAGGCGCGAAAGCGUGGGGAGCAAACAGGAUUAGAUACCCUGGUAGUCCACGCCGUAAACGAUGAUUGCUAGUUGUCGGAGUGCAUGCACUUCGGUGACGCAGCUAACGCAUUAAGCAAUCCGCCUG
rnacentral:rRNA from 1 species